AGAUUGAACGCUAGCGGCAUGCAUUA
rnacentral:rRNA from 1 species